rnacentral:rRNA from 1 species
CGGCACGGGUGAGUAACGCGUAUCCAACCUGCCUUACACUCUUGGACAGCCUUCUGAAAGGGAGAUUAAUACAAGAUGUUAUCAUGAGUAAGCAUUUUCACAUGAUUAAAGGUUUACUGGUGUAAGAUGGGGAUGCGUUCCAUUAGAUAGUAGGCGGGGUAACGGCCCACCUAGUCUUCGAUGGAUAGGGGUUCUGAGAGGAAGGUCCCCCACAUUGGAACUGAGACACGGUCCAA